CAAAAAUGUGUAUUGUACUUUUUUGUUCUACUCGUAUUAAAUUUUCUUCACUUUCAACAAAUGUUCAACAGUUUGCAAAAUAAUAGAUAAAGCAUGCAUUUUACCCCCUAUGUUCUAUUUUUAGCCUUCAUCGCCAUGUUUGUUUGUGACAGGAUCAUACAACACAUAUUUUGUUGUGAAGGUUCAUGUUCAGUCUGCCAUGGAAUUGUAUGUACAUGCAUGAACAAAUGAUUAUUACAGUUUACAUUCAAGUACUGUAUGUUGUGAAGGUUCAUGUUCAGUCUGCCAUGGAAUUGUAUGUACAUGCAUGAACAGUUGAUUAUUACAGUUUACAUUCAAGUAUUGUAUGUUGUGGAACGAUUAUUGUUUUCAUGAAUAAAUUUAUCAAACCA
rnacentral:lncRNA from 1 species